rnacentral:tRNA from 1 species
CUAAGUACCCCGAGGAAAAGAAAUCAACCGAGAUUCCGAAAGUAGCGGCGAGCGAAAUUGGACUAGCCCUUAA